rnacentral:sRNA from 1 species
CAUCCAGUUUUCUAAAUUAUGGAAAUUUUGUGGAAGACGUUGACCUGGAUUUUGAGCCUCAUCAUGGCUUCAUCGGAAUUUCAUAGUGACCACAGGCUUUCAUACAGUUCUCAAGAGGAAUUCCUGACUUAUCUUGAACACUACCAGCUAACUAUUCCAAUAAGGGUUGAUCAAAAUGGAGCAUUUCUCAGCUUUACUGUGAAAAAUGAUAAACACUCAAGGAGAAGACGGAGUAUGGACCCUAUUGAUCCACAGCAGGCAGUAUCUAAGUUAUUUUUUAAACUUUCAGCCUAUGGCAAGCACUUUCAUCUAAACUUGACUCUCAACACAGAUUUUGUGUCCAAACAUUUUACAGUAGAAUAUUGGGGGAAAGAUGGACCCCAGUGGAAACAUGAUUUUUUAGACAACUGUCAUUACACAGGAUAUUUGCAAGAUCAACGUAGCACAACUAAAGUGGCUUUAAGCAACUGUGUUGGGUUGCAUGGUGUUAUUGCUACAGAAGAUGAAGAAUAUUUUAUUGAACCUUUAAAGAAUACCACAGAGGAUUCCAAGCAUUUUAGUUAUGAAAAUGGCCACCCUCAUGUUAUUUACAAAAAGUCUGCCCUUCAACAACGACAUCUGUAUGAUCACUCUCAUUGUGGGGUUUCGGAUUUCACAAGAAGUGGCAAACCUUGGUGGCUGAAUGACACAUCCACUGUUUCCUAUUCACUACCAAUUAACAACACACAUAUCCACCACAGACAGAAGAGAUCAGUGAGCAUUGAACGGUUUGUGGAGACAUUGGUAGUGGCAGACAAAAUGAUGGUGGGCUACCAUGGCCGCAAAGACAUUGAACAUUACAUUUUGAGUGUGAUGAAUAUUGUUGCCAAACUUUACCGUGAUUCCAGCCUAGGAAACGUUGUGAAUAUUAUAGUGGCCCGCUUAAUUGUUCUCACAGAAGAUCAGCCAAACUUGGAGAUAAACCACCAUGCAGACAAGUCCCUCGAUAGCUUCUGUAAAUGGCAGAAAUCCAUUCUCUCCCACCAAAGUGAUGGAAACACCAUUCCAGAAAAUGGGAUUGCCCACCACGAUAAUGCAGUUCUUAUUACUAGAUAUGAUAUCUGCACUUAUAAAAAUAAGCCCUGUGGAACACUGGGCUUGGCCUCUGUGGCUGGAAUGUGUGAGCCUGAAAGGAGCUGCAGCAUUAAUGAAGACAUUGGCCUGGGUUCAGCUUUUACCAUUGCACAUGAGAUUGGUCACAAUUUUGGUAUGAACCAUGAUGGAAUUGGAAAUUCUUGUGGGACGAAAGGUCAUGAAGCAGCAAAACUUAUGGCAGCUCACAUUACUGCGAAUACCAAUCCUUUUUCCUGGUCUGCGUGCAGUCGAGACUACAUCACCAGCUUUCUAGAUUCAGGCCGUGGUACUUGCCUUGAUAAUGAGCCUCCCAAGCGUGACUUUCUUUAUCCAGCUGUGGCCCCAGGUCAGGUGUAUGAUGCUGAUGAGCAAUGUCGUUUCCAGUAUGGAGCAACCUCCCGCCAAUGUAAAUAUGGGGAAGUGUGUAGAGAGCUCUGGUGUCUCAGCAAAAGCAACCGCUGUGUCACCAACAGUAUUCCAGCAGCUGAGGGGACACUGUGUCAAACUGGGAAUAUUGAAAAAGGGUGGUGUUAUCAGGGAGAUUGUGUUCCUUUUGGCACUUGGCCCCAGAGCAUAGAUGGGGGCUGGGGUCCCUGGUCACUAUGGGGAGAGUGCAGCAGGACCUGCGGGGGAGGCGUCUCCUCAUCCCUAAGACACUGUGACAGUCCAGCACCUUCAGGAGGUGGAAAAUAUUGCCUUGGGGAAAGGAAACGGUAUCGCUCCUGUAACACAGAUCCAUGCCCUUUGGGUUCCCGAGAUUUUCGAGAGAAACAGUGUGCAGACUUUGACAAUAUGCCUUUCCGAGGAAAGUAUUAUAACUGGAAACCCUAUACUGGAGGUGGGGUAAAACCUUGUGCAUUAAACUGCUUGGCUGAAGGUUAUAAUUUCUACACUGAACGUGCUCCUGCGGUGAUCGAUGGGACCCAGUGCAAUGCGGAUUCACUGGAUAUCUGCAUCAAUGGAGAAUGCAAGCACGUAGGCUGUGAUAAUAUUUUGGGAUCUGAUGCUAGGGAAGAUAGAUGUCGAGUCUGUGGAGGGGACGGAAGCACAUGUGAUGCCAUUGAAGGGUUCUUCAAUGAUUCACUGCCCAGGGGAGGCUACAUGGAAGUGGUGCAGAUACCAAGAGGCUCUGUUCACAUUGAAGUCAGAGAAGUUGCCAUGUCAAAGAACUAUAUUGCUUUAAAAUCUGAAGGAGAUGAUUACUAUAUUAAUGGUGCCUGGACUAUUGACUGGCCUAGGAAAUUUGAUGUCGCUGGGACAGCUUUUCAUUACAAGAGACCAACUGAUGAACCAGAAUCCUUGGAAGCUCUAGGUCCUACCUCAGAAAAUCUCAUCGUCAUGGUUCUGCUUCAAGAACAGAAUUUGGGAAUUAGGUAUAAGUUCAAUGUUCCCAUCACUCGAACUGGCAGUGGAGAUAAUGAAGUUGGCUUUACAUGGAAUCAUCAGCCUUGGUCAGAAUGCUCAGCUACUUGUGCUGGAGGUAAGAUGCCCACUAGGCAGCCCACCCAGAGGGCAAGAUGGAGAACAAAACACAUUCUGAGCUAUGCUUUGUGUUUGUUAAAAAAGCUAAUUGGAAACAUUUCUUGCAGGUUUGCUUCAAGCUGUAAUUUAGCAAAAGAAACUUUGCUU